AACGAACGCUGGCGGCGUGCCUAACACAUGCAAGUCGAACGUGAUUGAAGAGCUUGCUCUUCAUGAAAGUGGCGCACGGGUGAGUAACGCGUAGAUAAUCUACCUGGUGAUUUGGGAUAACAGUUCGAAGGGACUGCUAAUACCGAAUAAGCCCACGGAGUCUUUGGAUUCUGCGGGAAAAGGGGGGGACCUUAUGGCCUUCCGUCAUCAGAUGAGUCUGCGUACCAUUAGCUAGUUGGUAGGGUAAAGGCCUACCAAGGCGACGAUGGUUAGCUGGUCUGAGAGGAGGAUCAGCCACACUGGAACUGAGACACGGUCCAGACUCCUACGGGAGGCAGCAGUGGGGAAUUUUGCGCAAUGGGGGAAACCCUGACGUAGCAACGCCGCGUGAGUGAUGAAGGCCCUUGGGUCGUAAAGCUCUGACAGAGGGAAAGAAAUGCAGGGGAGCUAAUAUCUCCCUUGCUUGACGGUACCCUCAAAGGAAGCACCGGCUAACUCCGUGCCAGCCGCCGCCGUAACAC
rnacentral:rRNA from 1 species